rnacentral:rRNA from 1 species
CUACGGGUCGCUCCAGUGAGGAAUAUUGCACAAUGGGGGGAACCCUGAUGCAGCAACGCCGCGUGGAGGAUGACGCAUUUCGGUGUGUAAACUCCUUUUAUAUGCCAAGAAAAUGACGGUAGCAUAUGAAUAAGCACCGGCUAACUCCGUGCCAGCGGCCGCGGUAAUACGGAGGGUGCAAGCGUUACUCGGAAUCACUGGGCGUAAAGGACGCGUAGGCGGGUUGGAAAGUCAGGUGUGAAAUCCUACAGCUUAACUGUAGAACUGCACUUGAAACUUCUAAUCUAGAGUAUGGGAGGGGGAGAUGGAAUUAGUGGUGUAGGGGUAAAAUCCGUAGAUAUCACUAGGAAUACCUAAAGCGAAGGCGAUCUCCUGGAACAUUACUGACGCUAAGGCGUGAAAGCGUGGGGAGCAAACAGGAUUAGAUACCCUAGUAGUC